UAACACUCCCGACAAGUUAAUUUCCUUCAAACGGGCAUUACAAGCAUACAAUAAACAUUGGGACAGAGCACUUUGCUCUAUUAAACUUGCAUAACACACAUAUGGAUAUACGCUUUUAAAUGUCUAUAUUCGAUUUUCAUACAUUGUUUUACCCGUCUGGGAUACAGGUAUUAAUAACCUUUACGACCAGUAAGGGUAUCUAAUCAUACUACCAGG